AUGCCAGACACCAUCAUUUCAGGCCUGAAGAAAUACAACUGGGGUGCUCUCUCGUUCGACAACAAGCUCUGUAAAACAAACAACACAUCCAAGUCAGCAAUGCGUGCUCCUGGAGAUGCUCAGGGAUCUUUUAUCGCUGAGCUAUCAUCGAGCAUGUCGCUUCGGUGCUGUCACUUGAUGCUAAUAGUGUCAGACAGAAGAAUUUCCACACCUAUGACAGCCUUGUGUUGUUCUAUCCAGAAAGCACAGGCGAAGCUUCUACGUACACAUUGCAUUCUAUCUUCGAUAGGUUGCUUACGACAUCGAGCUACCUGCAUCGAGCCGAAUCCAUCAGGCAGUACAACAGCUGCACCAAGUGGUGGAAGCGGGGUAUCUCUUGUGUGCCCCUCGUCUUCAAGGUGGCACCAAGGCCAGCUCCUGGAAGAGUUUCUGUGCUCAACGAUGGUUCCAUUGUGGUUGAGGUUGGAGGCAUUGAGAUUGGGCAAGGGCUCUGGACCAAAGUACAGCAAAUGA
rnacentral:rRNA from 1 species